rnacentral:rRNA from 1 species
UACGGGGGGAGCAAGCGUUGUUCGGAUUUACUGGGCGUAAAGGGCGCGUAGGCGGCCAGCACAAGUCAGUUGUGAAAUCUCCGGGCUUAACUCGGAACGGUCAACUGAUACUGUGCGGCUAGAGUGCGGAAGGGGCAACUGGAAUUCUUGGUGUAGCGGUGAAAUGCGUAGAUAUCAAGAGGAACACCUGCGGCGAAGGCGGGUUGCUGGGCCGACACUGACGCUGAUGCGCGAAAGCCAGGGGAGCGAACGGG